rnacentral:rRNA from 1 species
GGUCCCGCCUGCCCAGUGACCAACCACUUUAAACGGCCGCGGUAUCCUAACCGUGCAAAGGUAGCGUAAUCACUUGUCCCCUAAAUAGGGACUAGUAUGAACGGCUAAAUGAGGGCCCAACUGUCUCCUUUGAUUAAUCAGUGAAAUUGAUCCACCCGUACAAAAGCUGGUAUACACCCAUAAGACGAGAAGACCCUGUGGAGCUUAAAAUGCUUAAGUCAAAAUAACAGCACAACCAAAAAUGACAUAACAUUUUCAGUUGGGGCGACUACGGAAAUAAACCAAACUUCCAAGCCAAGAGCCAACCCGCUCUACCACAGACAAACAUGUCGAACUACCACCUGACCCAGAACCACUCUGAGUAACGAACCAAGUUACCCCAGGGAUAACAGCGCCAUCUUCUUCAAGAGUCCCCAUCGACAAGAAGGUUUACGACCUCGAUGUUGGAUCAGGACACCCAAAUGGUGCAGCCGCUAUAAAUUUGGUUCGUUUGUUCAACGAUUAAAGUCCUACGUGAUC